AAAGAAACCAACAGGGAUUGCCCUAGUAACGGCGAGUGAAGCGGCAACAGCUCAAAUUUGAAAUCUGGCCCUCGGGUCCGAGUUGUAAUUUGUAGAGGAUGCUUUUGGUGAGGUACCUUCCGAGUUCCCUGGAACGGGACGCCAUAGAGGGUGAGAGCCCCGUCUGGUUGGACACCGAGCCUCUGUAAAGCUCCUUCGACGAGUCGAGUAGUUUGGGAAUGCUGCUCUAAAUGGGAGGUAUAUGUCUUCUAAAGCUAAAUACCGGCCAGAGACCGAUAGCGCACAAGUAGAGUGAUCGAAAGAUGAAAAGCACUUUGAAAAGAGAGUUAAAAAGUACGUGAAAUUGUUGAAAGGGAAGCGCUUAUGACCAGACUUGGGCUUGGUUGAUCAUCCUGGGUUCUCCCUGGUGCACUCUUCCAGUUCAGGCCAGCAUCAGUUCGCUGCGGGGGAUAAAAGUUUUGGGAAUGUGGCUCCCUCGGGAGUGUUAUAGCCCAUUGCAUAAUACCCUGCUCCGGACUGAGGUUCGCGCAUCUGCAAGGAUGCUGGCGUAAUGGUCAUCAGCGACCCGUCUUGAAACACGGACCAAGGAGUCGUCUUCGUAUGCGAGUGUUCGGGUGUUAAACCCCUACGCGUAAUGAAAGUGAACGCAGGUGAGAGCUUCGGCGCAUCAUCGACCGAUCCUGAUGUUCUCGGAUGGAUUUGAGUAAGAGCAUACGGGGCCGGACCCGAAAGAAGGUGAACUAUGCCUGUAUAGGGUGAAGCCAGAGGAAACUCUGGUGGAGGCUCGCAGCGGUUCUGACGUGCAAAUCGAUCGUCAAAUAUGGGCAUGGGGCGAAAGACUAAUCGAACCUUCUAGUAGCUGGUUUCCGCCGAAGUUUCCCUCAGGA
rnacentral:rRNA from 1 species